rnacentral:rRNA from 1 species
CCUACGGGGUGCAGCAGUGGGGAAUAUUGGACAAUGGGCGAAAGCCUGAUCCAGCCAUGCCGCGUGUGUGAAGCAGGCCUUCGGGUUGUAAAGCACUUUCAGUGGGGAAGAAAGCCUUGGGGCUAAUACCCUCGAGGAAGGACAUCACCCACAGAAGAAGCACCGGCUAACUCCGUGCCAGCAGCCGCGGUAAUACGGAGGGUGCGAGCGUUAAUCGGAAUUACUGGGCGUAAAGCGCGCGUAGGCGGUCUGAUAAGCCGGUUGUGAAAGCCCCGGGCUCAACCUGGGAACGGCAUCCGGAACUGUCAGGCUAGAGUGCAGGAGAGGAAGGUAGAAUUCCCGGUGUAGCGGUGAAAUGCGUAGAGAUCGGGAGGAAUACCAGUGGCGAAGGCGGCCUUCUGGACUGACACUGACGCUGAGGUGCGAAAGCGUGGGUAGCAAACAGGAUUAGAUACCCGAGUAGUC